GGCAGAGUGCCAGAGUGGUUAAUGGGUGAGACUUGAAUUUCAGUGGUUCAAUCCUAUCUCAUGGCUUCGGCCGCGCAUGUUCGAACCAUGCCUCUGUCG
rnacentral:tRNA from 1 species